rnacentral:rRNA from 1 species
UGGGGAAUAUUGCACAAUGGGCGAAAGCCUGAUGCAGCAACGCCGCGUGAGUGAUGAAGGUCUUCGGAUUGUAAAGCUCUGUCUUUUGGGACGAUAAUGACGGUACCAAAGGAGGAAGCCACGGCUAACUACGUGCCAGCAGCCGCGGUAAUACGUAGGUGGCGAGCGUUGUCCGGAUUUACUGGGCGUAAAGGGUGCGUAGGCGGAUGUUUAAGUGAGAUGUGAAAUACCCGGGCUUAACUUGGGUGCUGCAUUUCAAACUGGAUAUCUAGAGUGCAGGAGAGGAGAAUGGAAUUCCUAGUGUAGCGGUGAAAUGCGUAGAGAUUAGGAAGAACACCAGUGGCGAAGGCGAUUCUCUGGACUGUAACUGACGCUGAGGCACGAAAGCGCGGGUAGCAAACAGGAUUAGAUACCCUGGCAGUCCACGCCGUAAGCGAUGAGUACUAGGUGUAGGAGGUAUCGACCCCUUCUGUGCCGCAGUAAACACAUUAAGUACUCCGCCUGGGAAGUACGAUCGCAAGAUUAAAACUCUAAAGUGAAUUGAC